rnacentral:rRNA from 1 species
UAACAUGAGAGUUUGAUCCUGGCUCAGAAUCAACGCUGGCGGCGUGCCUAACACAUGCAAGUCGAACGCGAAAGCGGCUUCGGCCGUGAGUAGAGUGGCAAACGGGUGAGUAACGCGUGGGUGACCUACCUUCGAGUGGGGGAUAACGUUCCGAAAGGAACGCUAAUACCGCAUGUGGAUUUCGGUCGAUGGACUGAAAUCUAAAGGGGGCUCGCAAGAGCUCUCGCUAGUAGACGAGCCUGCGUCCCAUUAGCUAGUU